AGAUGCGAUCAUACCAGCACUAAAGCACCGGAUCCCAUCAGAACUCCGAAGUUAAGCUUGCUUGGGCGAGAGUAGUACUAGGAUGGGUGACCUCUUGGGAAGUCCUCGGGUUGCAUUCC
rnacentral:rRNA from 1 species